CCUACGGGCGGCAGCAGUGGGGAAUAUUGCACAAUGGGGGAAACCCUGAUGCAGCGACGCCGCGUGAGUGAAGAAGUAUCUGGGUAUGUAACGCCCUAUCAGCAGGGAAGAAAAUGACGGUACCUGACUAAGAAGCCCCGUCUACCUACGUGCCAGCAGCCGCGGUAAGACGUAAGGGGCAAGCGUUAUCCGGAUUUACUGGGCGUAAAGGGGGCGUAGACGGCAGGGCAAGUCUGAGGUGAAGUGCCGGGGCGUAACCCCGGAACUGCUUUGGAAACUGGGCGGCUAGAGUGCAGGAGAGGUAGGUGGAAUUCGUGGUGUAGCGGUGAAAUGCGUAGAUAUUAGGAGGAACACCAGUGGCGAAGGCGGCAUGCUGGACUGUAACUGACGUUGAGGCACGAAAGCGUGGGGAGCAAACAGGAUUAGAUACCCCAGUAGUC
rnacentral:rRNA from 1 species